rnacentral:rRNA from 1 species
CCGUCGUGGGCGUAGGAAAUUUGAGAGGAGCUGUCCUUAGUACGAGAGGACCGGGAUGGACAUACCUCUGGUGUACCAGUUGUCGUGCCAACGGCAUAGCUGGGUAGCUAUGUGUGGACGGGAUAAGUGCUGAAAGCAUCUAAGCAUGAAGCCCCCCUCAAGAUGAGAUUUCCCAACUUCGGUUAUAAGAUCCCUCAAAGAUGAUGAGGUUAAUAGGUUCGAGGUGGAAGCAUGGUGACAUGUGGAGCUGACGAAUACUAAUCGAUCGAAGACUUAAUCAAAA